CGCAGCCCCUACACCACUCGAAAGGUCGCUGUUGCCUAGUUGGAGGCCGCCCACUGGAGAAGUGGCUCCUUUGGAGGUAGACAACCCAGAGCUUCUUGCAACUAGCAAGGUCCAGCAGGAGGGGGUUGGAGAGAGUGUUAAGGCAGAGGCUGACCACCUAGAUGACGAUGAGAUUGUCGAGGGUUCCAAUGGGGACCUACCCACGAGAUGGGUGGCCGGGACUAGAUGGGUGGU
rnacentral:lncRNA from 1 species